AUUGAACGCUGGCGGAAUGCUUUACACAUGCAAGUCGAGCGGCAGCGCGGGGGCAACCCUGGCGGCGAGCGGCGAACGGGUGAGUAACAUAUCGGAACGUACCCAGUCGUGGGGGAUAACUAUCCGAAAGGAUAGCUAAUACCGCAUACGACCUGAGGGUGAAAGCGGGGGACCGUAAGGCCUCGCGCGAUUGGAGCGGCCGAUAUCGGAUUAGCUAGUUGGUGAGGUAAAGGCUCACCAAGGCGACGAUCCGUAGCUGGUCUGAGAGGACGACCAGCCACACUGGAACUGAGACACGGUCCAGACUCCUACGGGAGGCAGCAGUGGGGAAUUUUGGACAAUGGGGGCAACCCUGAUCCAGCCAUUCCGCGUGAGUGAAGAAGGCCUUCGGGUUGUAAAGCUCUUUCAGCAGGAACGAAACGGUGGUCCCUAAUACGGGCUACUAAUGACGGUACCUGAAGAAGAAGCACCGGCUAACUACGUGCCAGCAGCCGCGGUAAUACGUAGGGUGCGAGCGUUAAUCGGAAUUACUGGGCGUAAAGCGUGCGCAGGCGGUUAUAUAAGACAGAUGUGAAAUCCCCGGGCUUAACCUGGGAACUGCGUUUGUGACUGUAUAACUCGAGUGUGGCAGAGGGGGGUGGAAUUCCACGUGUAGCAGUGAAAUGCGUAGAGAUGUGGAGGAACACCGAUGGCGAAGCAGCCCCCUGGGUCAACACUGUCGCUCAUGCACGAAAGCGUGGGGAGCAAACAGGAUUAGAUACCCUGGUAGUCCACGCCCUAACGAUGCGAACUAGGUGUUG
rnacentral:rRNA from 1 species